UACGUAGGCAGCGAGCGUUGUUCGGAAUUACUGGGCGUAAAGAGUGUGUAGGCGGUGCUCUAAGUUCGGUGUGAAAUCUCCUGGCUCAACUGGGAGGGUGCGCCGGAAACUGGAGUGCUUGAGCGUGGGAGAGGAAAGCGGAAUUCCCGGUGUAGCGGUGAAAUGCGCAGAUAUCAGGAGGAACACCGGUGGCGAAGGCGGGUCUCUGGGCAGUAACUGACGCUGAGGAGCGAAAGCGUGGGGAGCGAACAGG
rnacentral:rRNA from 1 species